rnacentral:rRNA from 1 species
AGUGAACGCUGGCGGUAGGCCUAACACAUGCAAGUCGAACGGCAGCACAGUAAGAGCUUGCUCUUACGGGUUGCGAGUGGCGGACGGGUGAGGAAUACAUCGGAAUCUACUUUUUCGUGGGGGAUAACGUAGGGAAACUUACGCUACUACCGCAUACGACCUACGGGUGAAAGCAGGGGAUCUUCGGACCUUGCGCGAUUGAAUGAGCCGAUGUCGGAUUAGCUAGUUGGCGGGGUAAAGGCCCACCAAGGCGACGAUCCGUAGCUGGUCUGAGAGGAUGAUCAGCCACACUGGAACUGAGACACGGUCCAGAGUCCUACGGGAGGCAGCAGUGGGGAAUAUUGGACAAUGGGCGAAAGCCUGAUCCAGCAAUACCGCGUGGGUGAAGAAGGCAUUCGGGUUGUAAAGCCCUUUUGUUGGGAAAGAAAAGCAGCAGGUUAAUACCCCGCUGUUCUGACGGUACCCAAGGAAUAAGCACCGGCUAACUUCGUG